rnacentral:misc_RNA from 1 species
UACAGAGGGUGCGAGCGUUAAUCGGAUUUACUGGGCGUAAAGCGUACGUAGGCGGAUCAGAAAGUAUAGGGUGAAAUCCCCGAGCUUAACUUGGGAAUUGCAUUCGAUACUGGGAAGCUAGAGUAUGGGAGAGGAUGGUAGAAUUCCAGGUGUAGCGGUGAAAUGCGUAGAGAUCUGGAGGAAUACCGAUGGCGAAGGCAGCCAUCUGGCCUAAUACUGACGCUGAGGUACGAAAGCAUGGGGAGCAAACAGG